rnacentral:misc_RNA from 1 species
UGUGGGGGUUGGGAUGAGAUUCUAGCUGAUUCUAGCCUAAAAAUCCAGUUAUUUGGGUUCAGUCGCAUGAAAAAUCGCUGGGCCUAGUAGUGUCUUCCUGGCUGCUUGAAACAGGGGUGCGUCCUCCGCCUCUGAAGAGCCGGUGGUGAGGAUGUUCCCUCCCAUGGUGUCGGCGUCGCCGCCCCCCUCUGACGAUGAACUGUCGGGCGAUGACGGCGAUGAGCUGGGCGUCGCUGACUCCUCGUUCGAUAUCACAGGUUUAUCUCAGAAAUUGCCGGUGUGUCAGCCGCCGAACCACAAGCCGCCGGCGCCGGUCUCCAGCCGUACCUACUCCCCGGACCCGGCACGGUCGAGUCCGCCGCCGCCGGCCGUGCACCGUCUGCCCUCGGACGACUGGGGAGAGUUCAGCGGCGCCCCGGCGGGCGCAGACCCCGCCGCGCCGGUCCCGGCACCUCCCGCGGCGCCCCAGCAGUUCUCCGGGUCAGAGAGAGACGUGAACGGUACUGAAGUCUCGCUGUCUGAGGUCCGCGCGGCGACAGUGUCGGUGGAUGCGUCACGAGCGACCGGUGUGAGACAAGAGCGCAGUAUUUUCUCGGACAGUGAGAGUGACAGUGAGGAGGCUAACGGACCUCAGCGGGGAGGAGAGGCGAGCCCUGCUCCACCGGUGGCGGCUAGUGAGCGUGUGCAGCCCGGUCAGAGUAAGGCAGUUAUCGAGGAUAACGAAUCUGCGAGCGAGGCGAAAUUGCACCGGGAAGGAGACAGGACGGCAUCCCAGACGGUGACGUUUCAGAAUGGAACUGACGAGCUUUCCAAAGUGGCAGCGGGCGGCGACUCCGAUAGUGACGAUUUCGGUGAUUUCGGUGGUUUCAGUGCAGCGACCGCGAGUGAACCAGUGACCGCGGUGAAUACAGUGACAGUGGUGAAUCCAGUGACCGAUCAGUCACUGGCACUGGACAGUUCCGUGCCCGGUCACGGAAGUGACAGUCAGUGUGCCGCGGACACUCCCCCAUCUCUAAAAUCAAACUCCAGUAACGGCCGAGAGGAAACCUUCAGUACGGACAUCGACUCGCGCGUCUCUAAUGUUAAACCUCUCGCGGCAGAUGUCGGUAGCUCUGCCGUCUCAAAUGGACCAGGUAAUGCUAUCAAUGAUAGUACGGCAAUGGAAGGCAGCUCAGACCGUAUCCCCUCUCCGGAUGAUGGCGUGAAGUCCGCAGAAGCAGUCGGCUCCUCUGAAGUCGCGGAGGACCCACACGAUGCCAGCCUGGUCCCCGAGACCGCGCCCUCGAGUGAUUCGGGGAGCGCACCGUCUUCCCUCGGCAGCUCGCCCAAACGUGCCAAAUCGCCGGAUAAUGCCGAAACGCGCACAAAACCAGAGAAAGCAACCGACGAGAGUGUGCCCGGGGAUGACUUUGGCGAUUUUGCAGCUCCCGCUGAUGAUUUUGGCGAUUUUACUGCGCCGGCUGGUGACUCAUCAGCCCCUUCUGAUGAGUUCGGUGAUUUUACCGCUAAAACUUGUGAUGUUUCUGCGCCCGCUGAGAAUUUAGGCGACUUUACCGCCCCAUCUGAUGUCCCCGCGCCGGAUGACGAUUUUAGCGAUUUUACUGCGCCAACUGAGGACCGAUCCGCCCCUACGGACGAUUUUGGCGAUUUUGCCGCACCGUCCGGUGACGCCUCAGGACCAACUGACGACUUUGGCGACUUCGCCGCGCCAGCUGACGACUUUGGCGACUUCGCCGCACCAACUGACGACUUUGGCGAUUUCUCGGGCCCGGCCGCGAGCUCCGGGGCCGGCUGGCCUCCGGACGGGGUGGACGGCGGAGGAGGGUUUGCUGAUUUCGGCGCGGUGUUCGCCGCCCCGUCCACUGAGGCGCCGCUGGAGGCAGAGGGUCAGCUGGCCGACCCGGCCUCGCUCAGUGACGACGAUUUCGGCGACUUUGAGGACUUCCAGGCACCCGUGCCGCAAGAGCCGGCGCCGAUCACUGACGAGGCGGUGGUGUCGUCGCUGCUGGCGCGCCUGUUCCCGCUCUGUGAGGAGGACCGCGAGCCGGCCUCCAUCCCGCUGGACGCCGGCGGCGUGUGGUACCAGCUGCGCGAGACGGACGCCACACCGGCUCUCCAGUACCGCUGGCCGGCCGGCCGCAGCUACACGGCACUCCUGCACGCGCUCAGAGUGGACGCCAGCAAUAUCAUCAAUUUCGGCGGCUGGGGCGGCCGGCCGAGCCGGUUCGGCCAGCCGCUAGGGUCCGAUUCGAUCCUGCAGCCGGUGAGGGCGGUGCUGGAGCCGACGCCGGCAGCGCCGCCGACGCCGCCCUCCCAGCCACCGCCCCAGCAGCAGCGGCAGCAGCAGUCGGUGCAGCAGCAGCAGCCGUCACCGCCGGCCGGCAGCGAGGUUCCACCGGCUGCGUUUGACUGGAACAGCGCCGGCCUGAAGAACCCGCUGGACUCGACAGGUCUGGAGCGUGAGCUGCUCUCGGCUGAGGAGCCGCCGACGCCCCGCUCCGCCGCCGCCGACUCCGUGCUCAGCCGACUGAUGGCUCAGACGGCUGAGAGGCCGCUCUCCGAGGCGGCCAGCCAGGUGGUGGCGCGCAUCCCCGACAUCGACUUCAUGCAGGCCAAGGUGCUCAUGUUCCCGGUGCGGGGAGCAGACGAGUGAUGUGCAGUCCGUGAGUGGGUGCGGUCUACCCUCAGAGUGAUAUGUGAUCGUGGGGUGGUUGUUUGUUUGCUGGGUUUGGGAAUGCUGGGGUGGCUGGGGGUAGCGUGCUGUGGGAUGGGAAGGCAGCCCGCCGGGCGUAGUCAUGUUUUAUGUUAUGCCAUACAUAUCCCCCUAUUCGGCUACAUUCCUGUGUUGGCGGGUACGCGUGGCUCCGUGCCGGCCCCCGUGGUCAUCGGUAGCUCCUGUUUGCGCCGCGCGGUGGUAUUCCACCUCGGAUAGUUCCCGUAUAUAUGAUUUGUUGUCUAGUCACCUCGGUCGCUGGUGUCGAGGUUGCGUUCCGUCCUGUGGGCUGUCGGUCGGCCUGUCGGGGUCGCCCUGUCGGUCUGUCGGGUCGCCCUGUCGGCCUGUCGGGGUCGCCCUGUCGGCCUGUCGGGCUGCUCGGGUGCCGUGCCAUGCAUUAGUAGCUCGGCGUGCUCCGGUCGGCCGCCGGCCGUUUUAAGUGGUGUCCUGUGUUUGCCAAGUGGCGAUUGUUUGGCGGUCUGUCGCCUGCUGGGCUGGCUCGGGGCGUGGAGGGGACGGGACGGCAGUGGGCGGACCCCGUGGGGACUCGGCAGCGCCCCUGUGUGUGUUAGUGUAUACAGUGCGGUCGCACCGAGUGUUACGGCGGUGUGCUGGUUCAUAUUGUUAUACAUCCAUAUUGCAUCAUACCGAAUCUGACAAUAUAUAACUGAUGAG